rnacentral:rRNA from 1 species
CAGCCCUAAACGAUGCGCGUUAGGUGUAUCGGUGACCACGAGUCACCGAGGUGCCGAAGGGAAGCCGUGAAACGUGCCGCCUGGGAAGUACGGUCGCAAGGCUGAAACUUAAAGGAAUUGGCGGGGGAGCACCACAACGGGUGGAGCUUGCGGUUUAAUUGGAUUCAACGCCGGAAAUCUUACCGGGACCGACAGCAACAUGAAGGCCAGGCUGAAGACUUUGCCGGAUUAGCUGAGAGGAGGUGCAUGGCGUAGUCGUGU